ensembl:lncRNA
UAGCCAGUAUCCGAUGGAAAAGCAAGAGAGUUUUUAUUACCAAGCUCAAGCUGGGGCUCCCACCGUCACCAACGCAGCGGCUAAGGAGAGGAGCCCCGAGUUUUGGGUUACACUGUUUUUAUAGGGAAUAUUCAGAAUCAUCUAGAGAUGCUGCCCUCCCUGCCCUCAGGAGGGUGGGAGAGGGGCGGAGAAAGAAGCCCACGUUGGUGAUGGCUCGGGCGCUUCUGCGUGUGUUGUACCGCUUCGGGCUGUCAUGACUGCCGCGUCACAGGUGAGGACAGCGAGGAGAAUUAAGUACCUUGAAGUGAAUUUGCACGGUAUCUGUGGCAUCUUAAGGCUUCCCAGGUGGCGCUAGUGGUAAAGAACCCACCUGCCAAUGCCAAUAAGAGACGCAGGUUCGAUCCUUGGGUCAGGAAGAUCCCCUGGAGGAGGUAUGGCAACCCAGGCCAGGGUUCUUGCCAGUCCAGUGUUCUUGCCUGGAGAAUCCCAUGGAGAGGGGAGCCUGGAGGGCUACAGUCCAUGAGGUCGCAAAAAGUCGGACGCGACUGUGCACGCAUCAUCAUGGAGUCCUGUACCCAGGCCACAGAAGCAGAGCAGCACCAUCUCUGGAAAGGACUGAGCCCCUUUGUAACUGUUGCCAAAAGUCCCCCAGCAGGCGUCCUGACCCCAUAUUAGGCAAAAAUGCCCACGGUAGUGCUCAUUGUAGGCGCCCUAACCAACCUUCCACGAGGAAUUUUCUUUGUCUUGAGGCUAUAAGAAUUGGCAGCUAACCCAGGAAAUGCGCUGACUUUCCUUGGCCUAUAAGGAGGUCGCCUUGCUGUGCUCAAAGUGCCCUUAUUAUCUCUGCUCUGUUCUUAAUGCACUCAUUCCCCCCUGAAAUGCUGUGUGCCUGGAAAUUCCUUUCCAACCGCCCUCUGAUUGCCAUGACAGUAUUCAUUGAGCUAAGCCAUAACUGCUUUUCCUUGAAUUCCCUUCUUGCAUGGUUCUGAGUUAGCAUGGAUCAGCGGAUUUUUUUUUUUUUUUUUUCAAAACAGGAUUUAGAAGGUAGAAUGUGGCUGUUCUCCUCUCAGGAGACUGGGGCAGGGCGAGAGGGAUUGCUGCUGCUCACAGUAUUGUGGCUUAUCUACUGGCGUCCUAUAGAACGGGGAUGUAGCCAGUCUUGACGUUUCCUCCAGCACCUGCUGCUACGGCUUCUCUGUCUCCUGAGCCAGGUGCCCAUUUAGCUCCCUGACAAAAGCAUCCCAUUUUCCUGCAAGGCACCCUGCUGGAGACUUGGAGAUAGUGAGAGACUGAUGGUGGGUUGAGCAUGUCCUUGUACACCCCUCCUUUCGUCCACCUUCUCUUCCCCCUCCUGCCCAGGCUGCAGCACCAGAUACAGGAAAAAAAAAAAAAAAAGUCUUACACAGAUUAUGUAGCCAACUUCCCUGAUUUAUUUAUUUUUAAAAUAGUUCUUUCUUUAUCUGACUGGGCCAGGUCUUAGUUACAGCAUGUGGGGCCUUUGAUCUUUGUUGUGGGCAUCCCUGGUGGCUCAGUGGGUAAAGAAUCCGCCGGCAAUGAGGGAGACCUGGGUUCGACCCCUGGGUUGGGAGGAUCCCCAGGAGAAGGGCAACCCACUCCAGUAUUCUUGCCUGGAGAAUCCCUGUGGAAAGAGGAGCCUGGCGGGCUGCAGUCCAUGGGGUGGCAAAGAGUUGGACACGACUGAGCGACUAAGCACAGCAACCUUUAGUUGCAGCAUGAGAACCCUCUAAUUGUGGCAUGUGGGAUUUAGUUCCCUGACCUGGGAUCGAACCCAGGCCCCAUGCAUUGGGAUGUAAGAUCUUAGCCACAGGACCACCAGGGAAGUCCCUCCCAUGAUUUCUUAAGGUCAAGUCCCUAUCUCUCUCACACACACACACACACAUUGCAGGGUGGUUUUGUUUCUCUGAUCAAAAUCUCACUGAUCAUAUUCCCAAAUUACACAGCACCUCGGGGUGCACUCCUAGCCAGUCCUGUCUAGCACUGGAGCUCUUUGCAUCUCAGGCCAAACUUCUCAUCAUGCCUUUUCAGUUCCCC